UACGUAGGGUGCAAGCGUUAAUCGGAAUUACUGGGCGUAAAGCGUGCGCAGGCGGCUUUGCAAGACAGAUGUGAAAUCCCCGGGCUUAACCUGGGAACUGCAUUUGUGACUGCAUGGCUGGAGUGCGGCAGAGGGGGAUGGAAUUCCGCGUGUAGCAGUGAAAUGCGUAGAUAUGCGGAGGAACACCGAUGGCGAAGGCAAUCCCCUGGGCCAUUACUGACGCUGAGGAGCGAAAGCGUGGGGAGCGAACAGG
rnacentral:rRNA from 1 species